rnacentral:rRNA from 1 species
GUGGGGAAUCUUAGACAAUGGGGGAAACCCUGAUCUAGCCAUGCCGCGUGAUCGAUGAAGGCCUUAGGGUUGUAAAGAUCUUUCAGGUGGGAAGAUAAUGACUGUACCACCAGAAGAAGCCCCGGCUAACUCCGUGCCAGCAGCCGCGGUAAUACGGAGGGGGCUAGCGUUGUUCGGAAUUACUGGGCGUAAAGCGCACGUAGGCGGACUGGAAAGUAGGGGGUGAAAUCCCGGGGCUCAACCUCGGAACUGCCCUCGAAACUCCCAGUCUUGAGGUCGAGAGAGGUGAGUGGAAUUCCGAGUGUAGAGGUGAAAUUCGUAGAUAUUCGGAGGAACACCAGUGGCGAAGGCGGCUCACUGGCUCGAUACUGACGCUGAGGUGCGAAAGCGUGGGGAGCAAACAGGAUUAGAAACCCCGGUAGUCC